rnacentral:rRNA from 1 species
UACGUAGGGGCAAGCGUUGUCCGGAUUUAUUGGGCGUAAAGAGCUCGUAGGUGGUUCGGUAAGUCGGAUGUGAAAUCUCCAGGCUCAACCUGGAGGGUCAUUCGAUACUGCCGUGACUAGAGUUCGGUAGGGGAGUGUGGAAUUCCUGGUGGAGCGGUGAAAUGCGCAGAUAUCAGGAGGAACACCCGUAGCGAAGGCGGCACUCUGGCCGAUACUGACACUGAGGAGCGAAAGCGUGGGGAGCGAACAGG